ACGCUCGACACCUACGGGAGCAGCAGUGGGGAAUAUUGCACAAUGGGGGAAACCCUGAUGCAGCGACGCCGCGUGAGUGAAGAAGUAUUUCGGUAUGUAAAGCUCUAUCAGCAGGGAAGAAAAUGACGGUACCUGAGUAAGAAGCCCCGGCUAACUACGUGCCCGCAGCCGCGGUAAUCUGAGCGGGCUGGCAAGGC
rnacentral:rRNA from 1 species